rnacentral:lncRNA from 1 species
CCCUCCCUCCUUCCCUCCCUCCCUCCCUCAGUCCCUCCCUCCUAAUGUUAUCUAUGCUCAUGGAAAAUAGGAAAGGAACUGAUUUGGUAGUGUUGGGGAGUGGCAGAGGCUGCCUUAACUUUUCCUGGCUCGGCUCCCCACUUACAUAUUCCUGUCAUGUGUUUGUGGCUUUGCAGAUGUUUCCAUGUCUGUCCAACUUGUACCUUUAUUAUCAGCAAGGACCCUUUUAAAUGUAGCAAAUGGGACUAUUUUAUAGAAAUUCAUGAUAGUAUGUAGGCCUUGGAGAAGUCUGAUAAUGGUGUGUAAAUAUCCUUUGCUCAGUUGUGGAAUGUUUUUUCUAAGGUCUUUUAGGCGAAAACUAAAGGAAAAUUGCUAGAGUUAAGAAUGUUUUUCCAGAAAACUCCAGUAUUCAUGGAAGCAAGGAACCAACAUAUUGCUGUUUUCCAUUCUGUCCAGCACAGACAGGCGUCUCUCUCCACAGUUAGGGUGACUGAUGGCCAUUGUGGUGCACGAUGGAGACGCUGCAUAUGAGAAGGGGAGAGAAAAUACACACAGCACACUAUUCUAAAGCCUGCUUCAUCUUUUUAAAAAUUCUAUAAUAUUACUAGACUUAUAGGUACCAUGCAGCAUAGUUUGAUCUGCAUAAUAUUGUGGGAAUAUUUUUACCUUUAGCCUCUAUCAUUGCUCAUUCUAGACUAUUCCACAUGUAUGCAAGCUGUUUUAUCAGUGUAUAAUUUCAGAGGUUGGGUAAGAGUAAAAAUAGGAAAUCUUAAAUAUCCUUUCUCAUGUAUUGUAUACUGGUCCACAGAUAUAAUAAUUCUGGGAAAAAUUUCUAGAUCAGACUAUAAAAUUGAAAUCACCUUUGAAGUGUUUAGAGAGUGGCUUCCUCCUAUUAAAGCCAAAUUUGAUUGACAGGAAGUAUGGGGCUAACCCAAUGCUCUUCAUUUCCUUUCUUUUUAAGAAUUUCUUAUAAAAUGUAGCAGGUAAGAAAAAAAGGUUAAUUGGUACUUUUUAUGGUGUGACUUGAAAAAAAAAUGGUGCCUGUCUGUUGUCUAAGAUAAACAGUGGUGUGCCAGAGGAGAGUCACUGGGGAAAUGUCUUUUCUUUGGUGUGUUCCUGAACUGUGGCUGGCAGUGAGAAAAUUAACCGAGUCUCAGUUUCUCUACCUCCCUUCCUUGGAGAAUAUUUGGAAAUGUACCCUGUGAAUAAAAUGGGUUUCUUUUCAAUGCAGUUUGUCAAGUCCUCUUAUUUCUUUGACG